GGGCAUGGUGGCACAUGCCUGUAAUCCCAGAGGCUUGGAAAGCUGAGACAGGAGGAUCGUGAGUUCAAAGCCAGCCUCAGCAACAGUGGGGUACUAAGCAACUCGGUGAGACCCUGUCUCUA
rnacentral:sRNA from 1 species